GCACAAGCAGCGGAGCGUGUGGUUUAAUUCGAUGCUACACGAAGAACCUUACCAGGUCUUGACAUCCCGAUGCUAUUUCUAGAGAUAGAAAGUUACUUCGGUACAUCGGUGACAGGUGGUGCAUGGUUGUCGUCAGCUCGUGUCGUGAGAUGUUGGGUUAAGUCCCGCAACGAGCGCAACCCCUAUUGUUAGUUGCCAUCAUUCAGUUGGGCACUCUAGCGAGACUGCCGGUAAUAAACCGGAGGAAGGUGGGGAUGACGUCAAAUCAUCAUGCCCCUUAUGACCUGGGCUACACACGUGCUACAAUGGUUGGUACAACGAGUUGCGAGUCGGUGACGGCGAGCUAAUCUCUUAAAGCCAAUCUCAGUUCGGAUUGUAGGCUGCAACUCGCCUACAUGAAGUCGGAAUCGCUAGUAAUCGCGGAUCAGCACGCCGCGGUGAAUACGUUCCCGGGCCUU
rnacentral:rRNA from 1 species